rnacentral:tRNA from 2 species
GGUUCUAUGGCCAAGUUGGUAAGGCGCCACACUAGCAAUGUGGAGAUCAUUAGUUAGACUCUGGUUGGAAGCA